rnacentral:rRNA from 1 species
ACGGAGGGUGCGAGCGUUAAUCGGAAUUACUGGGCGUAAAGCGCGCGUAGGCGGUUUGAUUAGUCGGGUGUGAAAGCCCCGGGCUUAACCUGGGAAAUGCAUUCGAUACUGUCAGGCCCGAGUCUAGGAGAGGGUAGCGGAAUUCCGGGUGUAGCGGUGAAAUGCGUAGAUAUCCGGAGGAACAUCAGUGGCGAAGGCGGCUUCAUGGCCUAAGACUGACGCUGAGGUGCGAAAGCGUGGGGAGCAAACAGGA